UAGGAUUCUUUGAGGUUACAAAUGUCAGUGAUUUAUAAGUUCAUGGAAAAAUUAAGUAAAAGUUAGAUAUUUAAUUUUUUGUGAAUAAACCGAGGGUCGAAAGGCACAUCAUCCUUCGGAUCCUCUUUUGAACCCAUAUACAUUGAACACUUAAGUUUUUAGAAUAUCUCAGAAAAAGUAAUUCAGGGGUUAUUGUUAUUCAACACUCCUAUAAUCUAAUAUAAGUAUAACACAUUUCGUUUACAAUUUUUACAUGAUUUUAGUUUGUACUGUGGUACAUUAUCAUUCUUAAAAAACAAAAAAACUCUGGAAAAAAAUAAAGGUAUUUGUUAUCACAUCUU